CGCAAACACUGCGUUCGCUAAGUGAGCUAUCUGCUUGCCUAUGCUCGGAGUCCUCAUCCUGACCGGGCUCACUCUGGCUUCCCUCGGCGCCUAGCACGGGGUCCUCAGGCUACACGGCAAGUAUAGCACUCCUGCCGACAAAAGCUGCCUGCUUACCAGGAUGGGCUGAGCACGUGGGCCAGACCCAAGGCACCCUGCAGACCUGGGACGAAACCUGCUCUCAUUUCAGCCUUUUGAAGGCCCGUUGACACCCCAGAGUCCUUCACAACUACAAGUACAACCCUGGAGUCCUUCACAGCUACAAGUACAAGUCAUGGGGAGCAGAACCAAGGAUUCCAAUCUGAUGGAGAGUCACAUUUACCCUUUCAAACAGAUAAGCAGGCAUAGAGUGUAUUAUACAUCAGUUUCUUGUGAAUUUGGUUGAUGUGAGUCCAUCCCCCCAAAAAAGACCAAUAAAUUCUGGAGCACCUAUAAGACCUUA